rnacentral:rRNA from 1 species
GUUUGGCACCUCGAUGUCGGCUCAUCACAUCCUGGGGCUGAAGUAGGUCCCAAGGGUAUGGCUGUUCGCCAUUUAAAGUGGUACGCGAGCUGGGUUUAGAACGUCGUGAGACAGUUCGGUCCCUAUCUGCCGUGGGCGCUGGAGAACUGAGGGGGGCUGCUCCUAGUACGAGAGGACCGGAGUGGACGCAUCACUGGUGUUCGGGUUGUCAUGCCAAUGGCACUGCCCGGUAGCUAAAUGCGGAAGAGAUAAGUGCUGAAAGCAUCUAAGCACGAAACUUGCCCCGAGAUGAGUUCUCCCUGACUCCUUGAGAGUCCUGAAGGAACGUUGAAGACGACGACGUUGAUAGGCCGGGUGUGUAAGCGCAGCGAUGCGUUGAGCUAACCGGUACUAAUGAACCGUGAGGCUUAACCUU